GCCAGAACCCGAAAACUAAGCCCAUCUCUGUAAUAGCAUCGACUCUUGCUUUCCAAAACCACACAAACCUGCCCUCCAUUUCUAUAACUCGAGAGCUUCGUCUAUAUUUGUUUUCAAAAUUAUAGGCUUCGAUCAUCUCCCCAACAAACCCAGAGCCUCCUUUUCUCCCGUUAAGCAAAAGAAAAUCAAGGAGGCCUGCAACUUCGUUUGCAGUCCACCACUGCAAAUCGGUCUGGAAACUGGAAAGUCCAGAGGUUUCUUGAAAUAUUUGCAUCUCAUUGGCGCAAUAUUUUUCAGUUUGUGGAUGUGCAAAGUCUGGUUGGUACACAUCAUUGGGCCAAACCUUUCCCAGAAUUUACUGACAUUUGAUAAAUGUUAAACGAAGUCCUUCAAUGAAUCUCUCAAGGUGCUUGAAGCUGAUAUUCAGUUCGCCAACACUAUAUGUCCAUGAAUUUUGUGGACUUCCUGUGUAAUCCUUGCCUCAGAAAACAAUCUCGACGCUGUUGUUGGUGGAGGAACGCCAUCAUUCGAGCCCUGGAGCACGCUAC